rnacentral:lncRNA from 1 species
CCAAUGACGUCAUCCCUUAUGCUAUUACAUUUUUAGUAAGAACUGAAAAUCGUUGCUGACUAAACUUGCUAUAAUAACUGCUUGUUUAUUCGUAUUACAUGAAGAUAUAACCCAAGUAUUGAUUUCGAGUCAACAACGAGGAACAUGAAUAAUACAUACAUAAUAUUGUUAUUGUUGCUGAAUAUUAAAAUUAAUUUAUGUAUAGGGUCAAAUUUCAAUAAUUUGUUAUCACAGCUUGUAUAGUUACAAGUGAUUACUAAUAACAUGUAAUGCGCAUGCGUACGAGGGGAUGUGAGAGAGGAAAGAGAGGAAAAUAACAGCUACUUAAGUAAGCGCCUUGUCAAUUAAUUAUUUAAUAGAGAUCCUACCUUCAAUUGAUUCAUAUUGUAUUCUCUCCGAUUCUAAUCAUCUAAAACUCAUCAAUAUGCCAAAUCCCUGUGGACAAUGCUCUUGUGGAAAGGAGUGUGGACAAUGCACUUGUACAAACUGCACCUGCUCCGGCUGCAAAAAAUGAAUCCUUCUCCAGGAUUCAUGUGUCUAAAUACUUGUCUUAAUGUAUUGAUUUAGUAAUAAAAGCAUAUGUAAUUCUU